rnacentral:rRNA from 1 species
GAUGAACGCUGGCGGCGUGCUUAACACAUGCAAGUCGAACGGAAAGGCUCCUGCUUGCAUGGGUACUCGAGUGGCGAACGGGUGAGUAACACGUGGGUGAUCUGCCCUGCACUUCGGGAUAAGCCUGGGAAACUGGGUCUAAUACCGGCUAGGACGAUGGUUUGGAUGCCAUUGUGGAAAGUUUUUCGGUGUGGGAUGAGCUCGCGGCCUAUCAGCUUGUUGGUGGGGUAAUGGCCUACCAAGGCGUCGACGGGUAGCCGGCCUGCGAGGGUGUACGGCCACAUUGGGACGGAGAUACGGCCCAGACUCCUACGGGAGGCAGCAGUGGGGAAUAUUGCACAAUGGGCGCAAGCCUGAUGCAGCGACGCCGCGUGGGGGAUGACGGCCUUCGGGUUGUAAACUCCUUUCGCUAGGGACGAAGCGCAAGUGACGGUACCUGGAGAAGAAGCACCGGCUAACUACGUG